CGUGAGAUGUUUGGGUUAAGUUCCCGCAACGAGCGCAACCCUUGUCCUUUGUUGCCAGCGGGUAAAGCCGGGAACUCAAAGGAGACUGCCAGUGACAAACUGGAGGAAGGCAGGGAUGACGUCAAGUCAUCAUGGCCCUUACGGUCAGGGCUACACACGUGCUACAAUGGGGCGUACAGAGGGAAACGAUACCGCGAGGUGGAGUGGAACCCAAAAAGCGUCCCUAAGUUCGGAUUGGAGUCUGCAACUCGACUCCAUGAAUCGGAAUCGCUAGUAAUCG
rnacentral:rRNA from 1 species